rnacentral:rRNA from 1 species
UAAAACGUAGGACGCGAGCGUUAUCCGGAGUUACUGGGCGUAAAGCGCGGGCAGGCGGUCUGACAAGUCUGAUGUGAAAUCUCCGGGCUUAACCGGGAGAGGCCAUUGGAAACUGACAGGCUGGAGGGCAGUAGAGGUAGGCGGAAUUCCGGGUGGAGUGGUGAAAUGCGUAGAGAUCCGGAGGAACACCAGAGGCGAAGGCGGCCUACUGGGCUGCACCUGACGCUGAGCCGCGAAAGCCAGGGGAGCGAACGGGAUUAGAAACCCCGGUAGUCCUGGCCGUAAACGAUGUGUGCUGGAUGGUGGGGGGUAAAACCCACACUGUCGAAGCUAACGCGAUAAGCACACCGCCUGGGGAGUACGGCCGCAAGGCUA